CAAUAGCGUAUAUUAAAGUUGUUGCGGUUAAAAAGCUCGUAGUUGGAUUUCUGUUGAGAGCAGCGCGUCUACCUUUUGGGUAAGUAUGUUGCUUGGUCUCGGCAUCUUCGUGGAAAACGUUUCUGCGCUUGAUUGCGUGGGGCGGGGUUCACGACUUUUACUUUGAGGAAAUUAGAGUGUUCACGGCAGGCAUACGCCUUGAAUAUAUUAGCAUGGAAUAAUAACAUAGGGCUUACGGCCUAUUUUGUUGGUUUCUAGGCUGCAGGCAAUGAUUAAUAGGGACGAUUGGGGGCAUUCGUAUUAACGCGUCAGAGGUGAAAUUCUUGGAUUGCGUUACGACGAACUACUGCGAAAGCAUUUGCCAAGGAUGUUUUCAUUGA
rnacentral:rRNA from 1 species